GACGAACGCUGGCGGCGUGCUUAACACAUGCAAGUCGAACGAUGAAGCUGGAGCUUGCUCCGGUGGAUUAGUGGCGAACGGGUGAGUAACACGUGAGCAAUCUGCCCUUGACUCUGGGAUAACUGCGGGAAACUGUAGCGAAUACCGGAUAUGAGAUCUGAAGGCAUCUUCGGGUUUGGAAAGAAUUUCGGUCAAGGAUGAGCUCGCGGCCUAUCAGCUAGUUGGUGAGGUAAUGGCUCACCAAGGCGACGACGGGUAGCCAGCCUGAGAGGGUGACCGGCCACACUGGAACUGAGACACGGUCCAGACUCCUACGGGAGGCAGCAGUGGGGAAUAUUGCACAAUGGGCGAAAGCCUGAUGCAGCAACGCCGCGUGAGGGAUGAAGGCCUUCGGGUUGUAAACCUCUUUUAGCAGGGAAGAAGCGAAAGUGACGGUACCUGCAGAAAAAGCACCGGCUAACUACGUGCCAGCAGCCGCCGUAA
rnacentral:rRNA from 1 species